GAAGAUACAAAGAAGUAGUAAGCAGUUCUGCAGAAGUGUGGAUUCCUAAAUCAUCUUCUGGAAACAUCCAAAUUUGGUUGUAGGUCCUAACAAGGAUAUUGUAACAGUUUCAGGUGAAGUUGGAGUAAAAUAUGGCAGCUUAAGUGGAAAUUCUGGAGUUAGAUGAUCCUGUUUCAAAGAGAGCUCCGGUGCAGUACCAUGUUCUUCAGAUUUCAGUGGAACAACGCAACUGCAGAUCACCAGCAAAUACUGCAAACUACCAUCUUCCCAAAGCAGUGCCCAGGACUGAGGUGUGGGCCAGCACAGCCUGUGUGAGCAGCAUACUGCUUUGCAUGCUUCAGAAAGAAGAUGGAUCAGAGAUGAUUGGCCUUUACCCACCUAUCUUCUAUCCCAAGAGCAGAGUAAAACGGCACACUUUAACUGUCUUGGGUUCUGCACCGGCAACACUGGGACACAGCACGGAGGUUUGUUUCCCACAGUCACGCAGGCAGGCCUGCCUGUGCUUACCCCAUCCACCUACAGAUGUGCACUGUGCGUUUGACCCCAGAGAUGCUGCGAGGAGGCUGCGAGCCCCGCGGCUGCUGACCCUGGGACGGCACCUCCCCAGGGCUGCCCUGCGUCCCCUGGGGGUGCCACCGGGGCUGCGGCCACCCUCUGCGGGGUGAGCGUGCUUGGGGGCUGCGCACCCCAAAAGCCGGCGAGGCGGGGGC